CAGCCGCCGCGGUAAUACGUAGGGUGCAAGCGUUGUCCGGAUUUACUGGGCGUAAAGAGCUCAUAGGUGGUGUGUCGCGUCGUCUGUGAAAUUCCGGGGCUUAACUCCGGGCGUGCAGGCGAUACGGGCACGACUAGAGUGCUGUAGGGGUAACUGGAAUUCCUGGUGUAGCGGUGAAAUGCGCAGAUAUCAGGAGGAACACCGAUGGCGAAGGCAGGUUACUGGGCAGUUACUGACGCUGAGGAGCGAAAGCAUGGGGAGCGAACAGGAUUAGAUACCCCAGUAGUCCCUGUCUCUUAUA
rnacentral:rRNA from 1 species